rnacentral:rRNA from 1 species
GACGAACGCUGGCGGCGUGCCUAACACAUGCAAGUCGAGCGAUGAAAUCCUUCGGGAUGGAUUAGCGGCGGACGGGUGAGUAACACGUGGGUAACCUGCCUCAAAGAGGGGAAUACCCUCCCGAAAGGGAGAUUAAUACCGCAUAAUAUGUUUUAAUCGCAUGAUUGAAACAUCAAAGGAGUACUCCGCUUUGAGAUGGACCCGCGGCGCAUUAGCUAGUUGGUGAGGUAACGGCUCACCAAGGCGACGAUGCGUAGCCGACCUGAGAGGGUGAUCGGCCACAUUGGAACUGAGACACGGUCCACACUCCUACGGGAGGCAGCAGUGGGGAAUAUUGCGCAGUGGGGGAAACCCUGACGCACCACCGCCGCGUGAAUGAUGAAGGCCUUCGGGUUGUAAAGUUCUGUCUUCUGGGACGAUAAUGACGGUACCAGAGGAGGAAGCCACGGCUAACUACGUGCCAGCAGCCGCGGUAAUACGUAGGUGGCAAGCGUUGUCCUGAUUUACUGGGCGUAAAGGAUGCGUAGGCGGACAUUUAAGUCAGAUGUGAAAUACCCGAGCUUAUCUUGGGGUGCUGCAUUUGAAACUGGGUGUCUAGAGUGCAAGAGAGGUAAGUGUAUUUCCUAGUGUAGCGGUGAAAUGC